rfam:Candidatus Portnoybacteria bacterium RBG_19FT_COMBO_36_7 RBG_13_scaffold_2410, whole genome shotgun sequence.
GCGGGUGUGGUAUAGUGGUAUUACAACGGUCUCCAAAACCGUUAACGGGGGUUCGAUUCCCUCCACCCGUG